rnacentral:rRNA from 1 species
GUUAAUAAGUCAGUGGUGAAAGUCUGCAGCUCAACUGUAGAAUUGCCAUUGAUACUGUUAACCUUGAGUAAUUAUGAAGUGGUUAGAAUAUGUAGUGUAGCGGUGAAAUGCAUAGAUAUUACAUAGAAUACCGAUUGCGAAGGCAGAUCACUAAUAAUUUACUGACGCUGAUGGACGAAAGCGUAGGUAGCGAACAGGAUUAGAUACCCUGGUAGUCUACGCCGUAAACGAUGGUUACUAGCUGUUUGGACCGAUUGAGGUCUGAGUGGCUAAGCGAAAGUGAUAAGUAACCCACCUGGGGAGUGCGUUCGCAAGAAUGAAACUCAAAGGAAUUGACGGGGGCCCGCACAAGCGGUGGAGCAUGUGGUUUAAUUCGAUGAUACGCGAGGAACCUUACCAGGGCUUAAAUGUAGUCUGACAGGGGUGGAAACACCUCCUUCUUCGGACAGAUUACAAGGUGCUGCAUGGUUGUCGUCAGCUCGUGCCGUGAGGUGUCAGGUUAAGUCCUAUAACGAGCGCAACCCCUGUGGUUAGUUGCCAGCGAGUAAUGUCGGGAACUCUAACCAGACUGCCGGUGCAAACCGUGAGGAAGGUGGGGAUGACGUCAAAUCAUCACGGCCCUUACGUCCUGGGCCACACACGUGCUACAAUGGUAGGGACAGAGAGCAGCCACUGGGCGACCAGGAGCGAAUCUAUAAACCCUAUCACAGUUCGGAUCGGAGUCUGCAACUCGACUCCGUGAAGCUGGAAUCGUCUA